rnacentral:misc_RNA from 1 species
AGGGAACAAUGGUAGGCCGCCGUUCUACGCGCACGCACCCUCUUUUCUCCCCUUCCUAAACCCUGAUCAUUUUAUCGGUCACCUGCUUCUCUCCCUGCACUCUCGCCGAGUUCACUCGUGAAGCCGAAUCAACCUUGUGACUCUUAACUGGAGUGAUUCAAAGCUAUGCAAGUCCUCUCAAACGCGCGUCGACUGGCUAGGGUUUUGAAGCCGCUGGUUCUCCUUAGGUCGGCUGCGAAUCAUAAGUUGCUCCCAUACGAUAUUCAAAUCGCGUUUUCUCCUCCCACUCCUCAUCAAUGGCAAAAUUACAACUCUUUUUCUUCCCAGGCCCUCUACUUCUCUGGCACUUCUUUGCUAAUGGCGCAACAACAAAUUAACUCAUGGGCUGCAAAAGCAUCAUUUUCUACUGAAGCUACUAGUGCUGAGAGAACCCCAACAGAGGCUGUGAAGGAGCUUUAUGAUAAAAUUCUUGAAUCUGUGAAUGUUAGACGGACGAUGGCUCCAAAUGCUUGGUUGUGGUCUUUGAUAGAAAACUGUAAAAACCAUGAGGAUAUUAAGCUUCUCUUUGACAGUUUGCAGAAUCUCCGGAGAUUUCGGCUUUCGAAUCUUCGUAUACAUGAUAAUUUUAAUUGCCAUCUUUGCCGUGAAGUUACUAAAGCAUGUGCUCGAGUUGGGGCCAUUGACUUUGGUAUGUAUACUUGGGAAUUCUUUUCAUUUUGAAACCACAUUCCGUCAUUCAUUCUUCCUUAUUUAAUUGGUUUCAUAUAUACUAUCAAGAACCAUGUGGAGAAAAAAAAAUAUAUACUGGUGCUGCAUUUGAAUAUUUGCAGUUUUGCACUUGGAAAGCUAUUUAAUAAAGUAGUGCGUAGCAUGUAAUUACAUGACCAUAAGUUGCAAUAAAUGCAGGGAAAAUGGCCUUGUGGAAGCAUAAUGUAUAUGGAUUGAGUCCUAACAUAGGCUCUGCCAACCAUUUGCUGUCAUAUGCUAAGGAACACAAUGAUGUAAGUUUCAUGGUUGAAGUGAUGAAACUGUUGAAAAAGAAUCACAUCCCAUUACAACCUAGUACAGCAGACAUUGUUUUCGGGUAAAAUGACCUAGAUUUUGGAUAUGAUAUCUCGACAUAUUAUUUAAUAUGAAAAACUGUUGUUUGGUUGAAUGCAUUACUGGAUGCAAAUCCUGCUUUCUCCUUUUGAAGUCCUAGAUUCCAUGAUUUGGAAACAUAACAAGUGGUCUUUGAUGUUUUCUGAUCACAAAAAAUAUGGAUUUUUCUCAACUAAAAUAUCUUCUUGUCAAAAAGACUACCAUAUGCUUUGGUUGAAAGCUCAGUUUAGCCCUUCAACUUUUACUCAAAAGUCAAAAUGGCCCUCAUAUUUCAAUUUGACUCGAUAAGACCCUUGUACAUUUCUAGAAUAAGCAAUGAAGCUCCAUUUCCGUUAAGUUAGAAUACAUGAGGCACAUGAAACGGAGGAAUGUUAGUACGAUAUUAUGUUUGUUGUCUAAAAUACACAUUAAAGGUGCAAAAACAAAAAAAGCUCCCCAAAUUCUAAAUAUGGGAAUUUUUGUUUUCUGCACAUUUUGCAUGUAUUUUAGACAACAGAUGUCAUAUCAGACAAAUAUCCAUCUAUUUCACGUGUCUGUAUGUUCCUUUAUUUAGAGGAAAUGGGGCUUAUUGCUCAAUCUUAAAUUCUCUGAGGACCUAAUUGAGCCAAAUUGAAACAUGAGGGUCUAAUUGACUUUUGAAGUAAAGUUAGAAGGCUGAUUUGGGUAUUUAGCCCAUUGCUUUAGAACUGAUUUAACUAUGAGCAUGAUAUUGGACUUAACAUUUGCAGUAUUUGUUACAAUGCCGGCAAUUGGGAGUUGAUCUCGAAGUAUUCAAAAAAGUUUCUCAAGGCUGGCGUAAAACUACGAAAAACUGCAUUUGACAUAUGGAUGGAUUUUGCUAUCAAAAGAGGUCCCUCUGAAUUCCCAAUUCUCUUUUUCUUACUCACAAUUUUAUAUUGUUUAUAUUUAUAUUUUUAUAUCUAUUUGCCAUCUCUUAGUGGUCUAGUAAUGGUUGUUAGUUGGGCUUCCCAUUUUGAACAUUGAGUCCUUCAUAUUUCAGAAAUAAAUAGGUUUUUGGGGUUACUUUCUAUCAUACAUUUCUGUUGCAUAUUGCUAGUGUAGAUUAACUCUUCUGAUUAGCCCUGAAUUCUACCUUUUCUUUAUAGGAGAUACUGAAUCGUUAUGGCAAAUUGAGAAGUUGAGAUCUGAGUUAAUGCAACAGCACACUCUUGUGAGUGCUUUUUCAUGUGCCAAGGGUCUAAUACUAGAACGUAAGCUUGAGGAUGCUGCUGCUGUCAUUCAAGUCCUUAAUCAGACUUUACCUGACGCCAAGAAGUCUGGAGUUAACGUUCAACUUCAGAAACUAGUCAGUGAGUGGCCUUUGGAUGUAGUUAAGCACAAGCCAGAGGAGAAUAAGAAGGCAGUAGCUGCUGCCUUGAAAUCAGACAUACCUGCCAUCGUCGGUCUAUUAAACAUGGGCUUAGAGUUGAAUGUCAAUUUGGAAGAUCUAACGAGUAAAGAAGAAAUUCCAUCCUGAAUUGUCAAAACAUGUGAGCAUGGCAUUCUCAAACUUCUGUAGUCGCUGUUGAAUGAAGGAGAAUCAGCCAUUUCAACAUUAUGACAAGCAAUUCAAUAAUUACCUGUCUACACAAGAUAUUGUUAGCAUCCUUUGAUCUGGCAAGAGAAGUAUAGAAUAGUGGAUUACUGUUCAUGAUUGCAAGUCAUUAGGGCCAAUCAGUUGUGCCCUGUUCAAUUUUUUGUCAAAAGUUGACAUUUUCAUUUUUUGAACUCGGGAAUAGACAUUGGAGGAACCAAAGAUGAUGUUUAGUUGUAUUCGGCAUCUAUGUUUCAACUCUCAAAAUAUUAAUUGUUCCUUCACUUUCACAUUGAAUUGUGGUUCUCUGUGGAUCCCAGUGUGGGGCAGCAGAGCAUCCUUCCGUCGUUUGUGCUAAUUAAAAUUUUUUUCGGCGCAUUUUUAUUAUAUCGCUGCCCAACCAUCCCGGAGUUGGUUCCAG